rnacentral:rRNA from 1 species
GGGGAGUAUGGUCGCAAGGCUGAAACUUAAAGAAAUUGACGGAAGGGCACCACCAGGGCUGGAGCCUGCGGCUUAAUUUGACCCAACACGGGGAAACU